GUCCAACGUUAAUCGGGGCAGGGUGAGUCGACCCCUAAGGCGAGGCCGAAAGGCGUAGUCGAUGGGAAACAGGUUAAUAUUCCUGUACUUGGUGUUACUGCGAAGGGGGGACGGAGAAGGCUAUGUUGGCCGGGCGACGGUUGUCCCGGUUUAAGCGUGUAGGCUGGUUUUCCAGGCAAAUCCGGAAAAUCAAGGCUGAGGCGUGAUGACGAGGCACUACGGUGCUGAAGCAACAAAUGCCCUGCUUCCAGGAAAAGCCUCUAAGCAUCAGGUAACAUCAAAUCGUACCCCAAACCGACACAGGUGGUCAGGUAGAGAAUACCAAGGCGCUUGAGAGAACUCGGGUGAAGGAACUAGGCAAAAUGGUGCCGUAACUUCGGGAGAAGGCACGCUGAUAUGUAGGUGAAGCGACUUGCUCGUGGAGCUGAAAUCAGUCGAAGAUACCAGCUGGCUGCAACUGUUUAUUAAAAACACAGCACUGUGCAAACACGAAAGUGGACGUAUACGGUGUGACGCCUGCCCGGUGCCGGAAGGUUAAUUGAUGGGGUUAGCGGUAACGCGAAGCUCUUGAUCGAAGCCCCGGUAAACGGCGGCCGUAACUAUAACGGUCCUAAGGUAGCGAAAUUCCUUGUCGGGUAAGUUCCGACCUGCACGAAUGGCGUAAUGAUGGCCAGGCUGUCUCCACCCGAGACUCAGUGAAAUUGAACUCGCUGUGAAGAUGCAGUGUACCCGCGGCAAGACGGAAAGACCCCGUGAACCUUUACUAUAGCUUGACACUGAACAUUGAGCCUUGAUGUGUAGGAUAGGUGGGAGGCUUUGAAGUGUGGACGCCAGUCUGCAUGGAGCCGACCUUGAAAUACCACCCUUUAAUGUUUGAUGUUCUAACGUUGGCCCCUGAUCGGGGUUGCGGACAGUGUCUGGUGGGUAGUUUGACUGGGGCGGUCUCCUCCUAAAGAGUAACGGAGGAGCACGAAGGUUGGCUAAUCCUGGUCGGACAUCAGGAGGUUAGUGCAAUGGCAUAAGCCAGCUUGACUGCGAGCGUGACGGCGCGAGCAGGUGCGAAAGCAGGUCAUAGUGAUCCGGUGGUUCUGAAUGGAAGGGCCAUCGCUCAACGGAUAAAAGGUACUCCGGGGAUAACAGGCUGAUACCGCCCAAGAGUUCAUAUCGACGGCGGUGUUUGGCACCUCGAUGUCGGCUCAUCACAUCCUGGGGCUGAAGUAGGUCCCAAGGGUAUGGCUGUUCGCCAUUUAAAGUGGUACGCGAGCUGGGUUUAGAACGUCGUGAGACAGUUCGGUCCCUAUCUGCCGUGGGCGCUGGAGAACUGAGGGGGGCUGCUCCUAGUACGAGAGGACCGGAGUGGACGCAUCACUGGUGUUCGGGUUGUCAUGCCAAUGGCACUGCCCGGUAGCUAAAUGCGGAAGAGAUAAGUGCUGAAAGCAUCUAAGCACGAAACUUGCCCCGA
rnacentral:rRNA from 1 species